UAUUCUUACCAUCCACCUAAACAGAGUCAUAGUCUCACCACCGGCUUGCCGCCCUACUUGUUCUUCGGCCUACCCGACCCACUAUUCUCCAUUCUCUGUUCGCGUACGGUAAUUUGCGCUGCUCCUUUGCGCACGGCCGUCUAGUUCACAAUGUUUUAUGUUCCUCUGGCUGUUGCUCAAAAUCCCAGCCCUUCCCCGACCUGAUCGACUUGAAAUCGCUGUGAUUUUUCUCUUGUCGAGAUCAGGUUCUCUUCACGCGGCUGCGCGCGAUCUUUGAUUUUUUUCCAGCAGUGCGACUGUGUCUCGCCCUGCACCAGCAAGUUUACCUGAUUUUGUCAGAAUCCAAUCACGAUUUCUCCUCUCGCGGGACGCAUCUGCCUCUGUCCAGACUUGUCUAUCUCGGAUCCAACUCUGGUUCUCCUGUCUCGCUGGACAUACUUGUCUCCGGUGAUCUUCUCUAGUCUCACAGUGCUUUUCGUCUCCGUUGGUUAGGAGGUUUAUUCUAUCCAUGUGAGAUUCAUUAUUGGUUAUUAUUUUUUGUGUUUUUAGUAGUCAAAAAUGUCAGAAGCAAAAAAAAUAAUUUAUCCUAGUUUUGAUAACCCAUCAUCACAAAUCAUUUCUUAUUAGAACAAACUUUUUCUUAUGUUCACUAAGAAGAAAGCAGAAGAAAUAUCAUGCUUUAUGUAGUACUAGUUGAGAAAGCUGAGUUAAUUGUUCAGUCUGAUUAAUUCAAAGAUCGAAAGAGUUAUGAUUAUUGUGACAAAUCGAGACAUACUAAGGAAACUUACUAAAAAUUACAAAGACGACCAACUAGAGGUUGUGGGGGAAGGAAAGGUGGACCUAUGAGAGCUCAAAUAAACUUAGUUGGGACAAGAAAAGCACCUAAAAUACUAACAGUUGGAACUUUUUCAAUCGAAGAGAUUUGAAACCUGAAGUGUAUUAUGUCUCAACUUAACUCUUCAUCAACUAUUGGUGCAUCAGAUAUAACAAAAUCAUGUAUUCAUUCUUUUCCUCUUAUUCCUGCUACUGAUAUUUGGAUUAUAAACUCUGGAGUUAACAGAUACAUGAUAGACUGUUUCAAAGAAUGUCUUUCCUAUUUUUUCUUGUUCGUAUAAUAGAUGGAUCAUACACUCUUAUUCCGGAAUAGAGUCUAUUAAUUGUAUGUCAAAUAUUAUACUAUCUUCUGUUUUAUAUAUGCCUAGUUUUCCUAAUAACCUUUUAUCUACUAGUAUUAUUAUUGGAGAUCUAAAUUGUAAAAUUGAAUUUUUUUUUCUGAUUAUUAUAUCUUUUAGGAUCUUUGAAUAGGAAAGAUGAUUGACUAUAGUAGACUGCAGGAUGACUUAUAUGUCUUAAAAAGAAGUCAGAACCUAAUUAGGAAUCAAGCCACCAUUGAGAAUAAGGAAGUAAAUUUAGAAAUAUUAAAAUGACCUCGACGGUUGGGACUACCUUCUUUUUUUGUUUUACAAAAAUUAUAUCUUAAUUUAUUUAACAUAACUUCGAUGGAUUCUUUAUUUUGUGAUGAGUGUGAAUUUGCUAAACAUAAAAGGAGUUCUUACUAUUUGAGUAAUAAUAGAAAUUCUAAUUCUUUUAUGAUUAUUCACUCUGAUGUGCGGGAAUCUAUUCAUGAUACCUCUUUAUCUGGUCACCGAUGGUUUACUUUUAUUGACUGUUGUAUUAGAUUAAUAUGAAUUUACUUGUUGAAAGCAAAAAAUAAUGUAUUUUCAUGCUUUCAAUUAUUUCAUAAAAUAAUAUAUACACUGUUUGACGUUAAAGUUAAGAUUUUGAGAACUAAUAAUGGUAUAGAAUAUAUAGAUAGUACGUUCCAUACCCAUUUAGAGUCAUGGGGGAUAAUUCACCAGAUAAGUUGUGUCUACACUAGUGAAUAAAAUGAGGUUACUAAAAAGAAAAACAUACACAUAUUCGAGGUAACUUGGUUACUAAUAUUCAUCAUGAAUUUACCUAAAAGUUAUUGCAGGAAAUGUAGUUCUCUCAGUAACCUAUCUUAUUAAUAGAAUGCUUUUACGAGUCCUCAAUUUUAUAAGUAUUUUGGAGGUUUUGCAAUGAAACAAUUCCCAUACUGUUCCCCUAAAAGUGUUUGGAUGUAUUUGUUUUGUCAAUGCUAGAAAUGUGAGUAAGUUAGAACCUACAGCUCUCAAAUGCAUAUUUAUUAUAUAUUCUCCUACCCAAAAUAGUUACAAGUGUUAUCAUCCAUCGUUUAGAAAAUACUUUGUGAUUAUGGAUGUUACUUUUAGAGAAUUUGAACCCUACUUCAGCUCCAACCCAACACUUCUUCAAGGGGAGAGUGAGAAGGAAGAGGUGAUGUUCGGUUCGGUAACUCUUGACAAUCAUAUUCAGGGGGAGAGUUCUAUGUUAGAAAAUUUUAUUUAAGAAGAAAAUAAUGGACACUUGAAUAAACCGAACUUGAAGAGGUAUUUAAGGAGAGAUAAAAUAGAAAAAACCAUCAUGCAGUCUAUCCCAAGUCAAGAAUAUUCUUCAGUUCCUGAAGACACUGGUGAGUUAUCUUUAUCUUGUGAUUUAUCUGAUAAACUCGUUACUCUUAGAAGAGGUAUUCAAGGAGAGAUAAGAUAGAAAAAAAUAUCAUGCAGUUUAUUCCAGAUCAAGAAUCUUCUUCAGUUCCUGAAGAUAUUUGUGAGUUAUCUUACAUUGUGAUUUAUCUAAUAAAUCCCUUAUUCUUAGAAAAGGAAUAAAGAUUUGCAUUAAGCAUCCUAUAUCUAACUUUAUUUCCUAUAGCUCUUUAUCUCCUUUCUAUAGAGCUUUUGUCUUGUCAUUUCCUUUGUGUCUAUUCCACAGAAUUGAAGGAAAAUUUUAGGAGAUCUCAAAUAAAAGGAAGUGAUGACUGAAGAAAUGAAAGCAUUAAUAAGGAAUGAAAUAUGAGAGCUUAUUUCACAUCCACAAGGAUAGAAGAUGGUUGGUUGCAAAUGAGUGUUCACUGUAAAACACAAA